UAAACUAGGCAACAAAAGAAUGAACGAAUGAAUACACGAGUGCAUGCAUGGAUCAAUGCAAAAACUUGUAGGUUCUCCGCAGAGACAUUUCUUCUCUUUCUUUGCCCUCCGUGUUAUUCCUCUCUCACACUGAUCGAUCGGCUCUGAAGAAAGAGAGAGAGAGCGAAAGAGAGAGAGAGAGAGAAAGAUAGGAGAGCAACGCAUGAA
rnacentral:ribozyme from 1 species